GCUUACAGCCAUACCAGCCUGAAUGCGUCUGAUCUCAGAAGCUAAGCAGGGUCGGGCCUGGUUAGUACUUGGAUGGGAUAUGUACAACAGUGUCGCAGAGACAGGCUCCUGCAAAGG
rnacentral:rRNA from 1 species